UACGUAGGGUGCAAGCGUUAAUCGGAAUUACUGGGCGUAAAGCGUGCGCAGGCGGUGAUGUAAGACAGGUGUGAAAUCCCCGGGCUUAACCUGGGAACUGCAUUUGUGACUGCAUCGCUGGAGUGCGGCAGAGGGGGAUGGAAUUCCGCGUGUAGCAGUGAAAUGCGUAGAUAUGCGGAGGAACACCGAUGGCGAAGGCAAUCCCCUGGGCCUGCACUGACGCUCCAUGCACGAAGCGUGGGAGCAACA
rnacentral:rRNA from 1 species